CCUCAAGUGAUUUGCCUGCUUUGGCCUCCCAAAGUGCUGGGAUUACAGACAUGAGUCACCAUGCCCCGCCUGCAGCUUCUUCUUGAAGUGUUCUGGACUUGGAAGAUUUGUUGAAUUACUAUGAAGUCACAUCUAAAGUUUGAAAGAGAUGGGGUCUCACUAUUUUGCCCACACUGGUCUUGAACUCCUGUCCUCAAGCAGGAUAUCCUCCUGCCUUGGCCUCCCAAAGUUCUG